rnacentral:rRNA from 1 species
AUUGAACGCUGGCGGCAGGCCUAACACAUGCAAGUCGGACGGUAGCACAGGGGAGCCUGCUCCUCGGGUGACGAGUGGCGGACGGGUGAGUAAUGUCUGGGGAUCUGCCCGAUAGAGGGGGAUAACUCCUGGAAACGGUGGCUAAUACCGCAUAACGUCGCAAGACCAAAGAGGGGGACCUUCGGGCCUCUCACUAUCGGAAGAACCCAGAUGGGAUUAGCUAGUAGGCGGGGUAACGGCCCACCUAGGCGACGAUCCCUAGCUGGUCUGAGAGGAUGACCAGCCACACUGGAACUGAGACACGGUCCAGACUCCUACGGGAGGCAGCAGUGGGGAAUAUUGCACAAUGGGCGCAAGCCUGAUGCAGCCAUGCCGCGUGUAUGAAGAAGGCCUUCGGGUUGUAAAGUACUUUCAGCGGGGAGGAAGGCGAUGUGGUUAAUAACCGCAUCGAUUGACGUUACCCGCAGAAGAAGCUCCGGCUAACUCCGUGCCAGCCGCCGCAGUAA